CAGCAGGUAGUUUAUUUAAAAUAUUAAUUUUGGGGAUUAAAGAAGGAGUUAUAACUUUCUUGCUGA
rnacentral:tRNA from 1 species